rnacentral:rRNA from 1 species
UACGUAGGGAGCAAGCGUUGUCCGGAAUCAUUGGGCGUAAAGCGCGCGUAGGUGGCCUCAUAAGUCCGCUGUGAAAGUCAAAGGCUCAACCUUUGAAAGCCGGUGGAUACUGUGGGGCUAGAGUACGGAAGAGGCGAGUGGAAUUCCUGGUGUAGCGGUGGAAUGCGCAGAUAUCAGGAGGAACACCGGUGGCGAAGGCGGGACUCUGGGCCAGUACUGACGCUGAGGAGCGAAAGCGUGGGGAGCGAACAGG